UACGUAGGGGGCUAGCGUUGUCCGGAUUUACUGGGUGUAAAGGGCGCGCAGGCGGAUUAGUAAGUCAGAGGUGAAAUCCUACGGCCUAACCGUAGAACUGCCUUUGAAACUAUUAAUCUUGAGUUCGGAAGAGAGAGACGGAAUUCCAGGUGUAGUGGUGAAAUACGUAGAUAUCUGGAAGAACACCAGUUGCGAAGGCGGUCUCUUGGUCCGAUACUGACGCUCAGGCGCGAAAGCGUGGGUAGCAAACAGG
rnacentral:rRNA from 1 species